GAUGAAGAACGCAGCGAAAUGCGAUACGUAAUGUGAAUUGCAAAUUCAGUGAAUCAUCGAGUCUUUGAACGCACAUUGCGCCCCCUGGUAUUCCGGGGGGCAUGCCUGUCCGAGCGUCAUUGCUGCCCUCAAGCACGGCUUGUGUGUUGGGCCCCGUCCUCCGAUCCCGGGGGACGGGCCCGAAAGGCAGCGGCGGCACCGCGUCCGGUCCUCGAGCGUAUGGGGCUUUGUCACCCGCUCUGUAGGCCCGGCCGGCGCUUGCCGAUCAACCCAAAUUUUUAUCCAGGUUGACCUCGGAUCAGGUAGGGAUACCCGCUGAACUUAAGCAUACAAUAGCGGAGGA
rnacentral:misc_RNA from 1 species